rnacentral:rRNA from 1 species
GACGAACGCUGGCGGCGUGCUUAACACAUGCAAGUCGAACGGAACCGUCCUGCUUUUGGGGGGUGCUCGAGUGGCGAACGGGUGAGUAACACGUGAGUAACCUGUCCUUGACUUAGGGAUAACUUCAGGAAACUGGGGCUAAUACCACAUAGGAGCUCCUGCUGCUGGGUGGGGGUUGGAAAGUUUCGCUGGUUGGGGAUGUACUCGCCGCCCGUCAGCUUGUUGGUUGGGUAGUGGCUUACCAAGGCCUGGCCCGGUAGCCGUCCUGAGAGGGGGACCGGCCAAGUUGGGACUGAGCUAAGGCACAGACUACUACGGGAGGCAGCAGAGGAGAAUAUUGCACAGGGGGCGGGAGCAUGGUGCAACAACGCCGCGUGCGGGAUGACGGGCUGCGGUCUGUAAUCCGAUUUCGCUUGUGACGAGGCGUGAGUGACGGUAAUGGGUAAAGAAGCACCGGCUAACUACGUG